rnacentral:rRNA from 1 species
AUGAUAGAAGCAGGAGUUCAUUUUGGUCAUGGUAUUAAGAAAGGGAAUCCUAAAAUGGCCCCUUACAUUUCGGCAAAGCGUAAAGGUACUCAUAUUAUAAAGCUUGCUAGAACGACUCGUUUUUUAUCAGAAGCUUGUGAUUUAGUUUUUGAUGCAGCAAGUCAGGGAAAAAGUUUCUUAAUUGUUGCUACCAAAAAAAGAGCAACAGAUUUAGUAGCAUCAGGUGCAAUAAGGGCUCGUUUUCAUUAUGUUAAUAAAAAGUGGUUCAGUGGUAUGUUAACGAACUGGUCGAUUACGAAAACUAGACUUUCUCAAAUUCUUAAUUCGCAACUAUCACACGGUCAAUAA